rnacentral:misc_RNA from 1 species
AUUAUGAUAAAAUUUAAUCAUCCUUAUCAUUUAGUAAGUUUAAGUCCUUGACCAUUAAUAAAUUCUUUUUGUUUAAUAAUUUUUAUAUUUAGAUCAUUGAAAUUUAUACAUGAUUUUAAUAUUUUAUUAUUUUUAAUGUCUUUAAUUUUAAUGAUUAUAAUUACUUAUCAAUGAUGACGAGAUGUAAUUCGUGAAGGAACUUUUCAAGGAGUCCAUACUUUAUAUGUUACAAAAAUAUUACGUUUAGGUAUAAUUUUAUUUAUUUUAUCUGAAUUAAUAUUUUUUUUAUCUUUUUUUUGGUGUUAUUUUCAUAUAAAUUUAUCCCCUAGAGUAGAAAUUGGUAGAGUUUGACCUCCUAAUUCAAUUUUAGUAUUUAAUCCUUUUAAUAUUCCUUUAUUAAAUACUAUUAUUUUAUUAAGAUCUGGAGUCUCUAUUACUUUAUGUCAUCAUAGAAUUAUAAAUAAAAAAUUAUUUAUAUCUAAUUUAAGUAUUUUAAUUACAUUAAUUUUGGGUAUAAUUUUUACAUUUUUUCAGUAUUUAGAAUAUCAAGAAUCUUAUUUUAGAAUAUCUGAUUCAGUUUAUGGUUCAAUUUUUUUUAUAGCUACAGGAUUUCAUGGUAUUCAUGUUAUUGUUGGUACCUUAUUUAUUUUAGUAUCUUAUUGACGUUUAUUAUUUAAUCAUUAUUCUAUAUUUCAUCAUUUAGGUUUUGAAGCUUCAUCUUGAUAUUGACAUUUUGUAGAUGUUGUUUGAUUAUUUUUAUAUAUUUUUAUUUAUUGAUUAUCUUUUU